UUACGACCAUAUCACGUUGAAGUAGGGAUUCCGUAUGAUCACCGAAGUUAAGCAACGUCGAGCGUGGUUAGUAUCCAGAUGGAUGACUGCUUGGGGAUAUCAGGUGCUGUAA